CUUCUCGCCCUGUUCUUUCCCCAAAUCCGACGACGAGAGACAACCGCUGCCGCGACGCAGCCGAAGACGGGGGGCAGGGAAGGGGAAGGGCUGGAGCGCGGUGGGGACCCGCUUCUCGUCGCCGGCGUAGGUACGGUCGCCCAUUCGGCUGCUCCCUGCCCAACCAGAUCCAGCCCCAUCGUCCUUGUUCCCCGCCGUCGUCGACGGGAUGCGGCCGUCGUCUACUUCCUCUGCCCGAGGGAUGGAAACGUCGGCACUGGAGUCGUGGCCGUGGCGGGGAAGGCGAACCCAGCGCAGCUCUGCCAGUGGCUCAAGAGGAAGAUAAGCAAGGAUGUCAAGAUUUUCCGCCGUUGUCCAAACGGGCUGAGAAUUGUAAUAAGCAGGUAUGCAUCCCUCUUGUCUACUUGUACUGCAGAAUGAAGGACGAUGUGUGUAAUAUCCAAAUGAAUGCACGUUAUUACGAAGGGCUAGCCGUGUGGGGUUAAGGUGCUCGCCGGCGGCGACCUGCGUGGCUCUCGGCCUGCAUCCUCGCUGAACUCAACACCAACUAUCGCGCGCCCGCGAUGUGACUGCUGUUGCAACAACGACGGCCAACGGCUAUUGAACGACGAGGAUGCCCUUCGGGGGUUAUAGCAUGCAAAGCAAAGAAGUUGCUCGAUACUCACAGCCAAUAUAUCUCCCUGUAGAAGCAGAAGAAGCAGCAAUUGAUUCAUAAGCAACAAUUUUAUCUGUUUCGUUCCUUUGUAUUUUUGCCCUCUGUUUCUACUGAUUGUAUGUAUCACUUUUUCAGAUAUAUUGAUCUUCACAUUCUUAGUUGGCAUCCGUAGUGGUUGUAGUUGUACACAUAGCAGUUCUUGGUUGGAUACGACAAUUAGAAAGUUGCACAACACUAAACCUUUUUCCUACGGCGGUGAAAGUGGAACGGAAUACAUUGAACUGAAUACACAUGGUGAUCAUUUUUUUGGCAUUUAUAGUAAUUCUUGUUACACACAUAGUUGUUUUCGUCGGAGACGAUCAUUACUAUAGUAGUUGUAGUUGCACAUACAGUUGUUCUCAGUUGGAUCCUAUUAUUGAAAAAUUGCACACAUGGCAAUCAUUUUUUGUUUGCAUCUAUAGUAGUUCUAGUUGCACACAUAGUUGUUUUCAGUUGGACACGAUCAUUGGAAAAUUACACACACGGCGAUCAAUUUUGGGUGGCAUCUAUAGUCGUUCUAGUUGCACACAUAGUUGUUUUCAGUUGGAUACGGUCAUUGGAAAGCUGCACACACGGUGAUAAUUUUUUGUUGGCAUCUAUAGUAGUUCUAGUUGCAUACAUAGUUGUUUUCAGUUGGACACGGUCAUUGGAAGUAGUUGGCAGGGGCAAUAGAAGUAGUUGCACAGAAUCUGCUAGGCAAAACUUUAUGGUGGCGAAAGAUUCCUCUUAGUAAAUCUGCAGAGAAGAAAUGUGCGCGCGAAGGCAGUAUCCAAAGGGGUAGAUGCCACAUCUUCUGCAGCAGCCGCUGUGGUAACAUAAAGUUCUAUCAUGAAUACUUUUUACUCCACAUACAGGCAGCCAAGUGUAUGAAUUUUCAUACAUGGUUGCAGAAGGACUAAUUAAGCAUUGGCAUGCUCUACUUUCUCAGUUGCUCAACGUUGCCAUCUUCAAGUUUUUUAGAAUUGUCCCAAGAGUAUGUAACGACUUGGCAUCCUCUGGCUUUCUAGUUGCAGAAUAAUAUCUAAUUAGUUGGCAACCUCGGUAAUUCUAAUUGCACAACAAUAACUAGUUGACAUCCUCAUCUUCUCUAGUUGCACAAGAACUCAGAUUAGUUCCAUCUUAAAAAAAAUGAGGAUUUCCCUAUAGUAUGUAGCGACUUGACACCCUUAGGCUUUCUAGUUGCAGAAGAGUAUCUAUUUAGUUGGCACCCUCGGCAAUUCUAGUUGGACAAUAUUAUCCAAGUAGUUGAUAUGCUCAGCCUCUCUAGUUGCACAAAAAUUCAGAUUAAUCCCAUCUUAAAAAAUUUGAGGAUUGCCCAACGGUAUCUAAUCACUUGGCACCCUCAGGCUUUCUACUUGCAGAAGAUUAUCUAUUUAGUUGGCACCCUCUACAAUUCUAGUUGGACAACAUUAUCCAAGUAGUUGGCAUCCUCAGCCUCUCUAGUUGCACAAAAAUAUCUCAUUAGUUGGCAUCAUCAGCAUUUCUAGUCGCACAAGAAUAUCUCAUUAGUUGUCAUCACCAGCAUUUCUAGUUGCAGAACAAACAGGAUAUCAAGUUGCCAUCCUCAACAUUUUAAUCUAGUUUUCCAGAGAACAAAUAUUUGUAUGUAAUGAUAACUAAUCACCUUUGCCUUUUUUUUGCAAACCCCGAGAUAUUGUUCCAGGAAAUGAGAGUAAUGAAGCAUAUAAUGUUGAACGAUAGUCACAAGCUGGCUACCUGAUGGAGACUACGCUGGAUACCUGAUGUUUGAGUUGGAUAGAAUACAUGUUUUAGUUGGCUAUAAUACAUGGGUACCUGCACACAACCUUGUGUAUGCUUGUUGCACACAUCCAGGGGAAAGUUGGCUAUUUAACCAUGUUUAGUUGCACAGGGAACUACAUCAACCUUUUUUCUACUAUGAUGCAUUUUUUCACCCGUGGAUAUGUUUGUUUGCACACAUCCAUGUGAAAGUUGGUUUGAAACCAUGGUUUUCUUGCACAGGGAACUGAAUUUCUUAUGCUUUUACUUGAUCUUCCUUCUCAAAAUCAUGGAGUUUUUUUUACUUGAUUUGGGAGAUUUAGAGGGAAAGGGCAAGGGAGAUAGUCAACAAGGUUUGCACAUGGGAGAGGAGAAGGAUUUCUUACCUUGGCGUUGCUUGGUAAGCUUCUCUUCUCUUCUUCCUGUUUUUCUGACCAAGAUCUCCUCACCUUGGCUGCUUUGCCAUGGCAGCUCUACAGGAUCUGGUUCAUGGCAUUGGAUCUGGUUUCUUUCAUGGGGAAGAAGCUGACGACCAGCGAGGGAGAGAGGGUGAGAACAGCUGGCGCGAAGGAUCUUUCCUUCCUGGGACCAGCGGACAAAC